rnacentral:lncRNA from 1 species
AUGCCAGACCGUGACAGAAUGAUCCCGCCUAACAUGGACCCAGCGGUCUCUGAGGAGAGGCUCAGGAAGGAGGUGAUGGACAAAGUUUACCGCCUAUGCGAGUCGUGGUGGGAGAAGCCCGGGGAGGUAUUGUGUCGCGCCGUGGAGAGGCGGCUGCAGGAAAUGCUUUGUAAAUUCCCCUGGCUGGUGGAUUCCCUCAAUCCAGUCGUCCUGGAUUUCUUGCUCUCAACCCUCCACCUCCACUCUCCUCCUCAGGCUGCUCACCAGCCCGGACAGUUGGUGGAUUCACAGCCUGAGACGCCGGCCCCGACAUCUACACGGAAACGAUGUUCUCGCCGCCGGCGUUCCUCACCGCAGCCGAAUUCCCGGACAUUUCAGGAGCCGGCUGUGGUGAGUAAUAAGGACACUUUUUCAUUUCUCACCUCAUCUGCUUCUUUGUUUUCAGUGGAUGGCGACAUCGCUGACGCUGCUGUAAACCAGCCUACUGUGCAGCUAGCGUCACCUCAUUCAGCAAUCUCCACACCGCUCACCUCUUCACCAUCUGUAGCAGUGCUGCCUGCUACGACACCACCCGGACCUGCUCGGCCCGAGCCGGAGGAGCCCGUGCUGCCCGAGCAGGAGCUCAGCGGGCCGGAGCAGCCAGCACCGCCGCCGGAGGCGCCAGCGCCGGAGCUGGAGCUCAGCGAGUUGGAGGAGCGAUCGCUCGCACAACUAUGGGAUUACUGCCGGAGCGUAAUCCAGGCUGUAGACCCACACAAGAGACAUAUACAGAAAGGAUGUCGCAUUCGCCAUCAUCACCCCAUUACACCUCAACCCACCCCUGCGGUUUCAGCCCGGUCAGCUGGCGACGGACCAACAGCACUCAUUACUGCAGUGAGUAAACCGGACUCAUUUGUUUCUAUUAAUCCUGUCAUUGAAAAUGAAAACACAGGUGAACAGCGGAGGACGGCUUCCAUACACCCGGCCCCGCCUUCACGGAGGAGAAGGCGUCCUAGCAAGCAGCGUUCAGCCACAUCUACACUCACCCCUGUGCUGGUUGAAGAUUCAGGACCAGCGGCUCUGGACGCCACAGUGAGUAAAAUGGACUCAGCCGGUGUUGUAAAUUCCCUUCCUGGGAACACGGAAAUAGAGACUAUAGCCACUUUGGCAAUUAUCAAUGGAGAAACUGUGAGAGGUGUAACUGAACUCCCAGUGGAGAUUUUUGGACCACCGACGGACGAAUGUGGUCUGAGUGCUAAUUCUGGGGCAGAAUUUUGCAUAGUCAGCCCUGAGAUAGUUAACUCAGAGUCGGUGGGGUCAGAAACUGUUUGCUUUACCUCCAAAAAGUCAGAAGAAGUCCACUCUGAGACUGUGAGUUUGGAGCUAGGGAGGUCAGAGCACACAGACCCAGAUGACUUUUUGGCCCAGACUGGCCGUAUGGAGACAGAAGUUCUCCCCAGGGCUUCCCCAGAGGCUGAACUGGAGACCUCAGUUGCCUCUGGACCCCUGGAAUUUGUUGAGCCAGCUGUAACGUUCUCAUCCUCUCCGCCCUUCAUAGUAGCCACAUCACCCUCCACUCAGUCUGCUGCCCAGCUAGCAACUCAGUCUGCUGCCCAGCUAGUAACUCAGUCUGCUGCCCAGCUAGUAACUCAGUCUGCUGCCCAGCUAGUAACUCAGUCUGCUGCCCAGCUAGUAACUCAGUCUGCUGCCCAGCUAGUAACUCAUCUUCAUCCUCAGUUGGAGGUCGAUGUGCCUGCUGAACCACCUCUGCCAUCAUUUCACUCGUCUGUCCCUGCAUUACAGUCCAGUCUACCGGAGGUAGCUGCCACACCAUCUUCACCUCCGCCCUCUGCAGCUACUUCUCCACCAGCGUCUCAUCGGACUGCAGCACUCUCAGCUUCACUAGCCACAUCACCUACCCUACCUUCAUCUUCACUACCUGCAGCUACUGCAUCACCAUCUUCACCUCCGGAUCGACCAUCUACAGCCGCUCCACAGCCGGAGGAGGAGCUCGGCGAGCGGGGGAGCCCGCGUCGCUGCCGGAGGAGGAGCUCGGCGAGCGGGGGAGCCCGCGUCGCAGCCGGAGGAGGAGCUCAGCGAGCGGGGGGAGCCCGCAUCGCCAACUGUGGAGCGCAGCGAGCCGGCGGAGCUCAGCGAGCGGGAGGAGCCCGCACCGCCUGA